AUGUGGAAAAUAAAUGAAAGAAAUAAUAUAAAAAUUUGGUGGAGAAGAUAUAUGAUUAAAAAAAGGUAAGUGGAAUUAUUAGAAAAGUUGGUAUAUAAAAAUUAAUAUGAAAAUGAGGUGGAAAAAGUAGAUGAUGUGGAAGGUGAUGUGGAGGGUGAUGUGGAGAGUGGGGUGUGAGAAGAAAAAUAGGUAGUGAAGAAGUAAAAAAAUGUGAGAUUAUUUUGGAUCAUUGGGUUAAGGAAAAAAAAAAUUAAUUUGGGGGUGCAAAUAGUAAAACGAAAUAGUAUUUUUUUAUUUUUUAUUUAUUUAUUUCUUUUUUUUUCUUUUUCCCUUUAUUUAGUUUUUACUAUUUAUUUUUCUUUUUUCUUUUUUCGUUGUUUUUUUUUUCUUUUCUAUUUUUUUAAAAUAAAAUCUAAUAAUAAUUAAAGAGCUAAAUCAAAAGUAAAUUAAAAAUUAAAAAUGCAAAAUAAAUAAUUAAAAACAAAAAUAAAAU
rnacentral:lncRNA from 1 species